GAUGAAGAACGUAGCGAAAUGCGAUAAGUAAUGUGAAUUGCAGAAUUCAGUGAAUCAUUGAAUCUUUGAACGCACCUUGCACCCUUUGGCAUUCCGAAGGGUAUGCUCGUUUGAGUGUCAUUGUACUCUCACACUCUCCGAUCCUAUGGAUUCGGGGAGCGGUGGACUUGGGUGUUGCUGCCUUUCCUUGUGGCUCACCUCAAAUGUGUCAGUGCACCUCUUGGUUGGACAUAGUACGGCGUGAUAAGUGUCUUCGCUGGCACCUCGCAAGAGGGUGGCCGAUCGGGAGCUCUGUGCUUUCAAACCGUCUUCGGACAAUUUCUGACAACUUGACCUCAAAUCGAGUAGGACUACCCGCUGAACUUAAGCAUAUCAAUAAGCGGAGGA
rnacentral:misc_RNA from 1 species